rnacentral:rRNA from 1 species
UACGUAGGGUGCAAGCGUUGUCCGGAAUUAUUGGGCGUAAAGAGCUCGUAGGCGGUCUGUCGCGUCUGCUGUGAAAACUCGGGGCUUAACCCCGGGCCUGCGGUGGAUACGGGCAGACUAGAGUUCGGUAGGGGAGACUGAAAUUCCUGGUGUAGCGGUGAAAUGCGCAGAUAUCAGGAGGAACACCGGUGGCGAAGGCGGGUCUCUGGGCCGAAACUGACGCUGAGGAGCGAAAGCGUGGGGAGCAAACAGG